rnacentral:misc_RNA from 1 species
GAAGAACGUAGCGAAAUGCGAUACUUGGUGUGAAUUGCAGAAUCCCGUGAACCAUCGAGUCUUUGAACGCAAGUUGCGCCCGAAGCCAUUAGGCCGAGGGCACGCCUGCCUGGGCGUCACACGUCGUUGCCCCCCCAUCUACUCCUUCGGGAUUGCGGGGGGCGGAUGAUGGCCUCCCGUGCGCCUCGCCGCGCGGUUGGCAUAAAUGCCAAGUCCUCGGCGACGCACGCCACGACAAUCGGUGGUUGCGAAACCUCGGUUGCCCGUCGUGUGCGGUCGUCGCGCAUCGAGGGCUCGAAAAAAUUGCCGGGUUCCGGCUCGGCUUUCAACGCGACCCCAGGUCAGGCGGGGUUACCCGCUGAAUUUAAGCAUAUCAAUAAGCGGAGGA